GACGAACCGUGCGAACGUUGUUCGGAAUCACUGGGCUUAAGGGCGCGUAGGCGGUCUGCCAAGUCCGGGGUGAAAGCCCCCAGCUCAACUGGGGAAGUGCCUUGGAUACUGGCGGACUCGAGGGAGGCAGGGGUUGUGGGAACUUCCGGUGGAGCGGUGAAAUGCGUUGAUAUCGGAAGGAACGCCGGUGGCGAAAGCGCACAACUGGUCCUCUUCUGACGCUGAGGCGCGAAAGCCAGGGGAGCAAACGGG
rnacentral:rRNA from 1 species